UCAGUUCAGAUUGCAGGCUGCAACUCGCCUGCAUGAAGUCGGAAUUGCUAGUAAUCGUAGGUCAGCAUACUACGGUGAAUACGUUCCCGGGCCUUGUACACACCGCCCGUCAAGCCAUGGGAGCCGGGGGUGCUUGAAGUGCGUCGCCGCAAGGCGCGCCCUAGAGCAAAACCGGUGACUGGGGCUAAGUCGUAACAAGGUAGC
rnacentral:rRNA from 1 species